AGUGAACGCUGGCGGUAGGCCUAACACAUGCAAGUCGAACGGCAGCACAGUAAGAGCUUGCUCUUACGGGUGGCGAGUGGCGGAUGGGUGAGGAAUACAUCGGAAUCUACUUUUUCGUGGGGGAUAACGUAGGGAAACUUACGCUAAUACCGCAUACGACCUACGGGUGAAAGCAGGGGAUCUUCGGACCUUGCGCGAUUGAAUGAGCCGAUGUCGGAUUAGCUAGUUGGCGGGGUAAAGGCCCACCAAGGCGACGAUCCGUAGCUGGUCUGAGAGGAUGAUCAGACACACUGGAACUGAGACACGGUCCAGACUCCUACGGGAGGCAGCAGUGGGGAAUAUUGGACAAGGGGCGCAAGCCUGAUCCAGCCAUACCGCGUGGGUGAAGAAGGCCUUCGGGUUGUAAAGCCCUUUUGUUGGGAAAGAAAAGCAGCAGGUUAAUACCCCGCUGUUCUGACGGUACCCAAAGAAUAAGCACCGGCUAACUUCGUG
rnacentral:rRNA from 1 species